rnacentral:lncRNA from 1 species
ACGAUCUCGCGUUGCUCGUCCCCGCGUGGAAGCUCUGGAAUCGCCAUCGGGAGUCGUUACAUCAGUCUCCGCGUGGCCGUGCCGUCUCUUCGCCGCCGUCGGAAUCGAGAUUCACUGUCUCGGAGCUUCAACGCGACCAAGCUUCUUCGUCGCUUCUCGUCAUCGGCUUCUCCACCACGGGAUCUCUGGUCCAAGUCAUCUUCGCGUCGUGGCCGUGCUCUUCCUCGCUGUAGUAAGCUCUCCGUCGUGUUCUCAGCCUCCGCCGUCAACGGAAUCGCCAGUGCUUCAGUCGCAGGUGAAAGCUCGAGGAGCAGAAAUGGUGGAAUUUGGGGGUUUUGCACAUCUGGCCCUUGACGUUUCAGACAAUUACAAUUUGACCCCAAAACUAUCAAAAGAGCAGAAAGGUCCACCCGAAUCAACCC